GGUGAGUAACGCGUGAGCAAUCUGCCCCCUAGUCGGGAACAACCGGCCCAACGGCCGGCUAAUGCCGGAUAUAGCUAUUGGUCGCAUGGCUGAUAAGCGAAAGAUUUAUUGCUAGGGGAUGUGCUCGCGUCCGAUUAGGCAGUUGGCGGGGUAACGGCCCACCAAACCAACGAUCGGUAGCCGGCCUGAGAGGGCGAACGGCCACAUUGGGACUGAGAUACGGCCCAGACUCCUACGGGAGGCAGCAGCAGGGAAUAUUGCGCAAUGGGGGCAACCCUGACGCAGCGACGCCACGUGUGGGAAGGAGCGCCUAGGCGUGUAAACCACUGUCGUGGGGGAACAGAGCACAAUUUCGGUUGUGCUGAGCGUACCCUGAGAGGAAGCACCGGCAAACUUCGUGCCAGCAGCCGCGGUAAUACGAGGGGUGCGAGCGUUGUUCGGAAUCACUGGGCGUAAAGGGAGCGUAGGCUGCCCUGCAAGCCGGGCGUGCAAUGCUGGGGCCCAACCCCAGCCUUGCGCCCGGGACUGCGGGGCUUGGAUGUUCCAGAGGCUGGCGGAAUUCCCGGUGGAGCGGUGGAAUGCGUAGAUAUCGGGAAGAACACCGGAGGCGAAGGCGGCCAGCUGGGGAAUCAUCGACGCUGCGGCUCGAAAGCGCGGGUAGCAAACAGGAUUAGAUACCCUGGUAGUCCGCGCCGUAACGAUGCGCGCUUGGCGCCCGGGGGCAACAGCCCCUGGGUGCCGUAGCCAACGCGAUAAGCGCGCCGCCUGGGGAGUACGCCCGCAAGGGUGAAACUCAAAGGAAUUGACGGAAUCAC
rnacentral:rRNA from 1 species